rnacentral:rRNA from 1 species
UACGUAGGUGGCAAGCGUUGUCCGGAUUUACUGGGCGUAAAGCGCGCGCAGGCGGCUGAUUAAGUCCGAUGUGAAAUCUCCCGGCUCAACCCGGGAGCGGUCAUUGGAUACUGGUCGGCUUUGAGGGAGGCAGAGGAGAGUGGAAUUCCCCAGUGUAGUGGGUGGAAUGCGUAGAUAUCGGGAGGAACACCAGCGGCGAAGGCGGCUCUCUGGGCCUUUCCUGACGCUGAGGCGCGAAAGCGUGGGGAGCAACCGGG